CAAAAUCAAAGUCAUAUAUUUAAGCAAGUACAAGAACAGUAGCCUAUUCCCUCCCCUGCUCUGCAGCACCAAUUUCGGCUGUCAUUCAGCUACCCUACUCUUUCAUUCCUAUCAAGCCUUUGAAGGAUCGCAGAGGACCCAUCUGCCCAUAUACAUAUACUAUCAGCCACCAUACUUCAACUGUUGAGGUACAAAAAUAGGGAAAUGUCUAUCCUAGGCUGAUACGUGGUAGGCUGGGACGUUGGAUGAGUGCCACGUCAAAAGUGAUAGAUAACUAGUUCAUUUCAUUUAAAUCAACCCAAUCAACCCAGAAAACCGGUUCAUUUCAUUUACAACCAACCCAGACCGGUACUAUAGUGCUUUUGAAUUUACAUCCAAAAAUAGCUCAUUCAGCCCCCUACACUUGACCCUUCUUCUCAAGCCUCCCAUGGAUCAAUACUCAAGUCUUCAUCCAAACUCUACUCCCUUUAAAGAAUCAGCAACAAUCCCUCUCCAUUUCUUUGCACGCCAAUACAAUCCCUCUCCAUUUCUUUGCACGCCAAUAACAGAGAGUCAAUGAGUUCAUCUUAGCUUCUGCCAAACUUAAAAGAUUUUUUUCCCAGCAAAUCUAUUAUCACAACCAGGUUCAAACACAUUCGCAAGGUAUUAUACUAUCUCAGUCAUUCAACAUGUUUCACACCAAUAAGAAUUCUGAGUAAGGCAUAAAUGACAUCAACAGACUAGAAAUUUUUAGGUGAAAUAAGUGUGCUUUAACUGAUUAGCUUUUGAACUCAAGUACCCAAAUAGAACGCUAGUAAAUAACACACAAGGACCUAUCUAUUGCAUAACUGGUGAGGGCCACAAUCAAACACCAGACCAGAUUUCAUAGUUCACCUAGUGCAGUAAUUAGUUGAACUUAAGGCUUUGUAAGCUUACGAACCUGUUGAUUCGAGUGCGGGUUAUGUUGGCUGGGGUCGGACCUUGGAAGAGUUGGGCGAGAAUGGAGACUGCGUUGCAGGGCACCGCGAAUCGACGGAGCAACGGAUGACUGCUCCGUUCACCAGAUGCAGGGAAACAACAGCGCGGUGACCCCAGUUAAGGAAGACACGACAACACGAUCGGCGUUGGGGGAUCCAACACCGACGACGACGAACGCUAUCGACUCGCCGAUCCUCGAACCACCAGCAGCGAUGGGCGGAUUCUAGGCCUCGCAGCUCACCGAUUUUUCUUGAGAUGACGACGGUUGGGCUGUACCGAACAGAGAACAGCUAGGGCUCGACCCUUACUAGAGCUACGUUAGAGAAAAUCAGAGAGAAGAGAGAACCAAGGAGGAAAUCAUGCCUAUGGCCUCGCUCGGUAACGGCGGUGAUUUCUGAUGGAGAAGAGAAUUAGGGCUCGCCCCUUUCGCCUUGAUUGAGUGCGCCAGAGAGGGUGUGAGUGAGAGAGGGGAAAAGAGAUAGAGGUUGCGAGUCAGGCGAAGGGGGAUGCCGCGUUGACGACCGGAUUCCGGCCUCGCCAGAGCUUAGAGAAAGGGAGAGGUGCUGUUCUGUAUACAGCGAGAACGAGAGAGAGAGAGAAGGUAUCAGCCGAUUAUUGAGAAGAAAGAAAGAAAGAGAGAUGGGUUGGGCUUCAGUAAUUGAUUUUUUGAUUGGGCCUCUACUGUUGGGCUGCAAUUGUUUGACUGAAAUUUAUGAUAUUAAUGGGCCAAGUCUUUAGGCCGAAUCUGUGGGGGAAUUUAUUUUCUUAAAGGGUAAUUAUAUAUAUAGCCCUCAUUUUACUCAACAUAGCCUCAAAUUUAUAAAAGAAAUACAAAUAUUAGUGAAUGUAUUAUUUUGCCCUUGUAGCCCC
rnacentral:lncRNA from 1 species